UAAGCGGAGGAAAAGAAACUAACAAGGAUUCCCCUAGUAACUGCGAGUGAAGCGGGAAAAGCUCAAAUUUAAAAUCUGGUGGUCUUUGGCCAUNCGAGUUGUAAUCUAGAGAAGCGUCNUUCCGCGCUGGACCGUGCACAAGUCUCCUGGAACGGAGCGUCGUAGAGGGUGAGAAUCCCGUCUUUGGCAUGGACACACCAGGGCUUUUGUGAUGCGCUCUCGAAGAGUCGAGUUGUUUGGGAAUGCAGCUCAAAAUGGGUGGUGAACUCCAUCUAAAGCUAAAUAUUGGCGAGAGACCGAUAGCGAACAAGUACCGUGAGGGAAAGAUGAAAAGCACUUUGGAAAGAGAGUGAAACAGUACGUGAAAUUGUUGAAAGGGAAACGCUUGAAGUCAGUCGCGUCGACCGAGACUCAGCCUCGCCUCGGCUUGGCGUACUUCUCGGCCCGACGGGUCAGCAUCAAUUUCGCCUCUUGGAUAAUGGCGAGGGAAACGUGACACCUUUACGGUGUGUUAUAGUCUCUCGUCGCAUGCAAGGGUCGGGAUUGAGGAACUCAGCACGCGCCUUUGGGCGUCGGGGCUUUGCCUACGAUACGUGCUUAGGAUGUUGGCGUAAUGGCUUUAAACGACC
rnacentral:rRNA from 1 species